rnacentral:tRNA from 1 species
AGUUCAGUCCGGUAGAACGCGGGUCUCCAAAACCCGAUGCCGUGGGUUCAAAUCCUACAGAGCG